UACUAGAGUAGCACUCGCAUAUCAAUAAGCGGAGGAAAAGAAACUAACGAGGAUUCCCCUAGUAACGGCGAGUGAAGCGGGAAGAGCUCAAAUUUGAAAUCUUAAAGGGUUUCCCUUUACGAAUUGUAGUUUAAAGAAGUGUUUUCUGUUGAGGUUUUGGUAAAAGUUCUUUGGAAUAGGACAUCAUAGAGGGUGAGAAUCCCGUAUUUGACCUUUACUUUCAACUUUGUGAUACACUUUCAAAGAGUCGGAUUGUUUGGGAAUGCAGUCCAAAAUGGGUGGUAAAUUUCAUCUAAAGCUAAAUAUUGGCGAGAGACCGAUAGCGAACAAGUACCGUGAGGGAAAGAUGAAAAGAACUUUGAAAAGAGAGUUAAACAGUACGUGAAAUUGUCAAAAGGGAAGCGUUUGACACCAGUGUUGUUUUUCUGAAAAUCAAUUAAAGAACUGUUUAUGCUAAGUUGUUUAGACUUUAUCAGCUAUCUGUUUAGUUUUGAGCUUUUCUUUAAUGCACUUUUCAGUUAACAAGUCAACAUCAAUUUCUUUUGCUGUAAAAAAGCUUGAGGAAGGUGGCUUGAGAUUCGUCUUAAGUGUUUAUAGCCUCUUGCCUAUGCAGUCGGAGAGAUUGAGGUCUGCAGCGUAGAUCCUUCGGGGCUAAAUGCAUUUGUGCUAAGUUAUAGCAUUUUAUAGACAACUUGUUGACUAUGAUUUGUCUUGUAGCUUACUCGCUUAUGUUAUUUUACCUACGCUUAGGAUGUUGAGCGCAUGUCUCUCUCU
rnacentral:rRNA from 1 species